CAACUAUAAAGAGGCAGAGAAAGAAGGCUGCUGGUGUUCAGGAGACAGGAAUGCUAAUUUUUGCUUCACCCUGAGUUUUGUGGUACAAGUUGGAGCAAGAUGCAGAUGUCUUUCCUGUUUUUCCUGUUAAAAAGUGUGUGUCCCCAGGAAUUUAAUUUUAUUUACUGUCAGAUGGACAGAUUCUUCAGCUGAAACAUCACCUUAGGGCCCAGACCUGUGUCUGUUCAUUGAUCUUCAGCUCCCAUACAAGGAUAAAACCAGAAGAAUAGAUGCUUUUUGAAUAGAAGUCUUCAGCAUCCACAGAGGACUUGUGAAGACCUCAGCAAAACCUGGCAUUUCCAUUUCCCACCCGCACUGUGGCUAAUUUGCAGUGACACCUAAUUACAUCAAGGAACCCCAAAGAGAAGAGCUCAACCUCCACCUUGGAAGCAGCAUCCUCCUUGGCACCCUUGCCUUCCCUAUACUGCUCAUCCAUACUGAAGUCAGGCAAUGAAGACAAGAACAAGUGGAGACCCAGGUCAAGGUAAGUCAGAGGUGAUCAAUCCUUCUCUUUGUGCUUGUGGAAUAAAAAUUUGAA